CCUACGGGCGGCAGCAGUGAGGAAUAUUGGUCAAUGGUCGGGAGACUGAACCAGCCAAGCCGCGUGAGGGAUGAAGGUACAGAGUAUCGUAAAUCUCUUUUGUCAGGGAACAAAGGCGGGGACGCGUCCCCGGAUGAGUGUACCUGAAGAAAAAGCAUCGGCUAACUCCGUGCCAGCAGCCGCGGUAAUACGGAGGGUUCGAGCGUUUUCCGGAUUUAUUGGGUGUAAAGGGUGCGCAGCCGGUCUGUUAAGUCAGUGGGUAAAGCCCGGGGCUUAACCCCGGCACGGCCGUUGAAACUGGCAGUCUCGAGUUGGAGAGAGGUAUGCGGAAUGCGCGGUGUAGCGGUGAAAUGCGUAGAUAUCACGAAGAACUCCGGUUGCGAAGGCAGCAUGCCGGCGCUCAACUGACGCUGAUGCACGAAAGUGUGGGUAUCGAACAGGAUUAGAUACCCUUGUAGUC
rnacentral:rRNA from 1 species